rnacentral:tRNA from 1 species
UAGCUCAGUAUUAGAGCCCCCGCUUGGCAUGCGGGGAGGCCUGGGUUCGAUCCCCGG